rnacentral:rRNA from 1 species
CAGUCAGCUGGCUUCUUAGAGGGACUAUCGGCUCAAGCCGAUGGAAGUUGGAGGAAAUAACAGAGCAAGGAUAAAAGAAAAGGGAAUAGACCAAACGCAAACUACACAGACGGAGCCAGCGAGUUCUCCCUUGACCGGAAGGUCCGGGUAAUCUUGUGAAACUC